rnacentral:rRNA from 1 species
GAUUUCUGACCAAUCUCGUGCCCGGCCCUGCCCGGAAACGGGUGGUGUGUUGUCGCACGUUGGUCGUACAACCUUCUAGAGAUCGGCGUGUCUGCUCUUUACUGGGUGGGUGCGUGCGGACUCUCUAGAUCUUUUACUUUGAAAAAAUUAGAGUGUUCAAAGCAAGCUUGUGCUGUGAAUAUAUUAGCAUGGAAUAAUAAUUUAGGACUUUUUACCUAUUUUAUUGGUUUCUAGGUUUUGAGUAAUGAUUGAUAGGGAUAGUUGGGGGUGCUAGUAUUCAGCGGCCAGAGGUGAAAUUCUUGGAUUCGCUGAAGACUAACUAAUGCGAAAGCAUU